GAUGAACGCUGGCGGCGUGCCUAAUACAUGCAAGUCGAGCGAACGGACGAGAAGCUUGCUUCUCUGAUGUUAGCGGCGGACGGGUGAGUAACACGUGGAUAACCUACCUAUCAGACUGGGAUAACUUCGGGAAACCGGAGCUAAUACCGGAUGAUAUUUUGAACCGCAUGGUUCAAAAGUGAAAGACGGUCUUGCUGUCACUUAUAGAUGGAUCCGCGCUGCAUUAGCUAGUUGGUAAGGUAACGGCUUACCAAGGCAACGAUGCAUAGCCGACCUGAGAGGGUGAUCGGCCACACUGGAACUGAGACACGGUCCAGACUCCUACGGGAGGCAGCAGUAGGGAAUCUUCCGCAAUGGGCGAAAGCCUGACGGAGCAACGCCGCGUGAGUGAUGAAGGUCUUCGGAUCGUAAAACUCUGUUAUUAGGGAAGAACAUAUGUGUAAGUAACUGUGCACAUCUUGACGGUACCUAAUCAGAAAGCCACGGCUAACUACGUG
rnacentral:rRNA from 1 species